rnacentral:lncRNA from 10 species
GGCAUCCGGAUGGCGACUGCGGGAAAUCGAGUUCUCAUGCUGGGGCGAAAGGACCGUCCGCCCGCUCGGAAGAGGCGAAUCUCCCACGGCAGACGUCUGGGUGUGCGAAUGCCAGUUGAGCGGGGCCUCGAGGACGCGUCACACACAGCGAGGAUUUGAGGAGGGAAGCGCCUUCCAGGUGGUGGUUAUUUAAUGGGUAUUUGAUGGAGGACCACGCGUUGCAUUUGGCGGUAAACUUUAACCCCUAAGGUCCCAGGGCGCUGAAACAAUCUGGGCAGGAGAGAAGGUCACGGACAUCUUCUGCGGUCUAAAAACGCGGAAAGGCUGCGAAGUCGCUUUCAGGCGCUGAGCGGAGAGCUUCAGAGAAGAGGCAGAAGUGUGCAAACAGGAGCAGGUCCAAGAUUUGCAUGGCCAGAAGCAAUUCUUGAUCCUCUUGGCUAGAUUCGAAGAUUUGGCCACCUCCAGACGCUACCACACUCUGGGACAGUGGGAGAUUUGGAACAGCUUUGAGAAGAGCAAGAUCUGACAUGCUGAUGAGUAUGG